AUUCUACUCCCUCCGUCCAACAAAGGAUGUCUCAACUUUCACUAAAUUUGAAUGCAUCUAUACACUAAGUCAUGUCUAGAUACAUUCAAAUUUUGACAAACUUGAGACAUCUUUUGUUGGACGGAGGGAGUACACA
rnacentral:pre_miRNA from 1 species